CAAACCUACGGGGGGCAGCAGUGAGGAAUAUUGGUCAAUGGUCGGGAGACUGAACCAGCCAAGCCGCGUGAGGGAUGAAGGUACAGAGUAUCGUAAACCUCUUUUGUCAGGGAACAAAGGCGGGGACGUGUCCCCGGAUGAGUGUACCUGAAGAAAAAGCAUCGGCUAACUCCGUGCCAGCAGCCGCGGUAAUACGGAGGAUGCAAGCGUUGUCCGGAUUUAUUGGGCGUAAAGCGAGUGCAGGCGGUUCAAUAAGGCUGA
rnacentral:rRNA from 1 species